CGGAGGGUGCAAGCAUUGAUCGGAAUUACUGGGCGUAAAGGGCGCGUAGGCGGUUAUGAAAGUCAGAUGUGAAAUUCCGGGGCUCAACCCCGGAGCUGCAUUUGAAACUUCAUAACUAGAGGUUAGUUAGGGAAAACGGAAUUCCACGUGUAGCGGUGAAAUGCGUAGAUAUGUGGAAGAACACCAGUGGUGAAGACGGUUUUCUGGGCUAAUACUGACGCUGAGGCGCGAAAGCAAGGGGAGCAAACAGGAUUAGAUACCCUGGUAGUCCUUGCCGUAAACGAUGCAUACUAGAUGUAGAGAGGCUCAACCCUUUCUGUAUCGGAGCUAACGCAUUAAGUAUGCCGCCUGGGGAGUACGCCCGCAAGGGUG
rnacentral:rRNA from 1 species